GGGGAAUAUUGGACAAUGGGCGAAAGCCUGAUCCAGCCAUGCCGCGUGAGUGAUGAAGGCCCUAGGGUUGUAAAGCUCUUUCACCGGUGAAGAUAAUGACGGUAACCGGAGAAGAAGCCCCGGCUAACUUCGUGCCAGCAGCCGCGGUAAUACGAAGGGGGCUAGCGUUGUUCGGAAUUACUGGGCGUAAAGCGCACGUAGGCGGACUAUUAAGUCAGGGGUGAAAUCCCGGGGCUCAACCCCGGAACUGCCUUUGAUACUGGUAGUCUAGAGUCCGAGAGAGGUGAGUGGAAUUCCGAGUGUAGAGGUGAAAUUCGUAGAUAUUCGGAGGAACACCAGUGGCGAAGGCGGCUCACUGGCUCGGUACUGACGCUGAGGUGCGAAAGCGUGGGGAGCAAAC
rnacentral:rRNA from 1 species